AUUGAACGCUGGCGGCAGGCCUAACACAUGCAAGUCGAACGAGUGGCGGACGGGUGAGUAAUGUCUGGGAAACUGCCUGAUGGAGGGGGAUAACUACUGGAAACGGUAGCUAAUACCGCAUACCAUCGGAUGUGCCCAGAUGGGAUUAGCUAGUAGGUGGGGUAAAGGCUCACCUAGUCGACGAUCCCUAGCUGGUCUUAGAGGAUGACCAGACACGCUGGAACAGAGGCACGGACCAAACUCCUACGCGAGGCAGGAGUGGGGAAGAUGGCACUAUUGGCGCAAGCCUGAUGCAGCCAUGCCGCGUGUAUGAUGAAGGCCUUCGGGUUGUAAAGUACUUUCAGCGGGGAGGCGUUACCCGCAGAAGAAGCACCAGCUAACUCCGUGCCAGCAGCCGCGGUAAUUC
rnacentral:rRNA from 1 species